rnacentral:rRNA from 1 species
CACCGCGGUUAUACGAGAGGCCCAAGUUGACUAGCGCUCGGCGUAAAGGGUGGUUAAUAAUUUAAUACACUAAAGCCGAACCCCCUCUCGACUGUCUAACGCUUUCGAGGGCUGGAAGCACAACUACGAAAGUGGCUUUAACACCUUGACCCCACGAAAACUGUGGCA